rnacentral:rRNA from 1 species
ACAGAGGGUGCGAGCGUUGUUCGGAAUUACUGGGCGUAAAGGGCGCGUAGGCGGCCUUCUAAGUCGAACGUGAAAUCCCCGGGCUCAACCCGGGAACUGCGUCCGAUACUGGAAGGCUUGAAUCCGGGAGAGGGAUGCGGAAUUCCAGGUGUAGCGGUGAAAUGCGUAGAUAUCUAGAGGAACGCCAAAGGUGAAGACAGGCGGCUGGGCCAAUUCUGACGCUGAGGCACGAAAGCGUGGGUAGCGAACGGGA